rnacentral:rRNA from 1 species
UCGAGAGUUUGAUCCUGGCUCAGGAUGAACGCUAGCGGCAGGCUUAACACAUGCAAGUCGAGGGGUAUAGUUCUUCGGAGCUAGAGACCGGCGCACGGGUGCGUAACGCGUAUGCAAUCUACCUUAUACAGGGGAAUAGCCCAGAGAAAUUUGGAUUAAUACCUCAUAGUAUGUGAGAAUCGCAUGGUUUUUCACAUUAAAGUUCCAACGGUAAAAGAUUAGCCUGCGUCCGAUUAGCUAGUUGGUAGGGUAAAGGCCUACCAAGGCGACGAUCGGUAGCUGGUCUGAGAGGAUGACCAGCCACACUGGAACUGAGACACGGUCCACGACU